AUUGAACGCUGGCGGCAGGCUUAACACAUGCAAGUCGAGCGGAGUGGUGGUGCUUGCACUAUCACUUAGCGGCGGACGGGUGAGUAAUGCUUAGGAAUCUGCCUAUUAGUGGGGGACAACAUUUCGAAAGGAAUGCUAAUACCGCAUACGUCCUACGGGAGAAAGCAGGGGAUCUUCGGACCUUGCGCUAAUAGAUGAGCCUAAGUCGGAUUAGCUAGUUGGUGGGGUAAAGGCCUACCAAGGCGACGAUCUGUAGCGGGUCUGAGAGGAUGAUCCGCCACACUGGGACUGAGACACGGCCCAGACUCCUACGGGAGGCAGCAGUGGGGAAUAUUGGACAAUGGGCGGAAGCCUGAUCCAGCCAUGCCGCGUGUGUGAAGAAGGCCUUAUGGUUGUAAAGCACUUUAAGCGAGGAGGAGGCUACUUUAGUUAAUACCUAGAGAUAGUGGACGUUACUCGCAGAAUAAGCACCGGCUAACUCCGUGCCAGCCGCCGCUGUAACAC
rnacentral:rRNA from 1 species